GGGGGUUGCGAGCGUUGUCCGGAAUUACUAGGCGUAAAGGGCAAAUAGGCGGAUCUACGAGUUUUUUGUUUUUUUCUACGGCUCAACUGUAGUAGAGCAGGAGAUACUGUAGGUCUGGAAUGCGGUAGGGGAAGACAGAAUUCCUGGUGUAGCGGUGGAAUGCGCAGAGAUCAGGAGGAAUACCGAAGGCGAAGGCAGUCUUCUAGGCCGUAAUUGACGCUUAACUGCGAAGGUGUGGGGAUCAAACAGGAUUAGAUACCCUGGUAGUCCACACAGUAAACGAUAAUCACUAGAUGUCGGGUUCUAGAUGGAUUCGGUGUCGGAGCUAACGCGAUAAGUGAUUCGCCUGGGGAGUACGAUCGCAAGGUUG
rnacentral:rRNA from 1 species